UACGUAGGUGGCAAGCGUUGUCCGGAUUUACUGGGCGUAAAGGGCGUGCAGGCGGUCUGUUAAGUGCAGGGUGAAAGCUCCCGGCUCAACUGGGAGAGGUCCUUGCAUACUGGCGGACUUGAGGGGGGUAGAGGAAAGUGGAAUUCCCGGUGUAGUGGUGAUAUGCGUAGAUAUCGGGAGGAACACCUGUGGCGAAGGCGGCUUUCUGGGCCCUACCUGACGCUGAGGAGCGAAAGCGUGGGGAGCAAACAGG
rnacentral:rRNA from 1 species